rnacentral:rRNA from 1 species
GAUGAACGCUGGCGGCGCGCCUAACACAUGCAAGUCGAACGGUUAAAGCCCCUUCGGGGGUGCAUAAAGUGGCGAACGGCUGAGUAACACGUGGGCAACCUGCCCCUCGCACCGGGACAGCCUCGGGAAACCGUGGUUAAUACCGGAUACUCCCGCGCCCCCGCAUGGGGGCGCGGGGAAAGCCCAGACGGCGAGGGAUGGGCCCGCGGCCUGUUAGCUCGUUGGCGGGGUAACGGCCCACCAAGGCGAUGAUGGGUAGCCGGGUUGAGAGACCGACCGGCCAGAUUGGGACUGAGACACGGCCCAGACUCCUACGGGAGGCAGCAGUGGGGAAUCUUGCGCAAUGGGCGGAAGCCUGACGCAGCGACGCCGCGUGCGGGAAGGAGGCCUUCGGGUCGUAAACCGCUUUCAGCAGGGACGAGGCCGCGAGGUGACGGUACCUGCAGAAGA